rnacentral:rRNA from 1 species
CCUACGGGAGGCUGCAGUGAGGAAUAUUGGUCAAUGGACGUGAGUCUGAACCAGCCAAGUAGCGUGAAGGAUGACUGCCCUAUGGGUUGUAAACUUCUUUUAUAUGGGAAUAAAAUGUUCCACGUGUGGGCUUUUGCAUGUACCCUAUGAAUAAGCAUCGGCUAACUCCGUGCCAGCAGCCGCGGUAAUACGGAGGAUCCGAGCGUUAUCCGGAUUUAUUGGGUUUAAGGGGAGCGUAGAUGGGUUUUUAAGUCAGGUGUGAAAGUUUGCGGCUCAACCAUAAAAUUGCAAUUGAUACUGGCAGACUGGAGUGCGGUUGAGGUAGGCGGAAUUCGUGGUGUAGCGGUGAAAUGCUUAGAUAUCACGAAGAACUCCGAUUGCGAAGGCAGCUUACUAAGCUGCAACUGACAUUGAUGCUCGAAAGUGUGGGUAUCAAACAGGAUUAGAUACCCUUGUAGUC